CUCAAAUGGUGGUGUCCCCUCUCCAGCCAGCCCCGCCGCUUCUUACUUAGUUCAGCCUGUCCACAGCCUCCGAGCAGCCCUUUCAGCGCUUCCCGUGGCAGCACCUGGCUCCCACAAGCCUGGGGCCAGCAGCAGCCUCAGGGUGGCGAGUGCCUCAAUGGGGAAGGUUUGGAGGGAGACUGAACUUUGAAGCAAGAGGAGGAAAGGACAUUCACUCCUGUGACACUUGGCGGCUCUCCUUCUCCGAGCCUUCCCGUCUGUCUGCAUGGGGCCAUCUUCAGGGCAGGGAGCUCCACGGUGCCUGCAGCUGGACGUCACCCACCACCCGCCUUUGUGAGCGCCCUGUGUCUGCCUCCUCUGAGCUCCGACCACACAGCACCCCCAGCCUCGCCGGCUGCUCCCUGUCCUCUGCUCUGUGGCUGCAAGCCCCGCGGCAUAGACGCCAGGAGACAGUGCCCACUUUUGACUCCCUCGGGAGCGCUCCUUGAGGUGCACAGCACGGUCAAAAAGAACACGUGGUUUUUAAACUGCUUGGAUGCACUGCAGUCCGCCAAGCUUCUCCCCAGAACUGCCAGUCGACGCCUUUAUAAAACCCACAGAUCCGG
ensembl:lncRNA